AACGAACGCUGGCGGCAGGCUUAACACAAGCAUGUCGAACGGGUGUAGCAAUACAUCAGUGGCAGACGGGUGAGUAACACGUGGGAACCUUCCUAGGGGUACGGAACAACUCAGGGAAACUUGAGCUAAUACCGUAUACGUCCGUGAGGAGAAAGAUUUAUCGCCCUUAGACGGGCCCGCGUCGGAUUAGCUAGUUGGUGGGGUAACGGCCUACCAAGGCGACGAUCCGUAGCUGAUCUUAGAGGAUGAUCAGCCACACUGGGACUGAGACACGGCCCAGACUCCUACGGGAGGCAGCAGUGGGGAAUCUUGGACAAUGGGCGCAAGCCUGAUCCAGCCAUGCCGCGUGAGUGAAGAAGGUCUUCGGAUUGUAAAGCUCUUUUGCCAGGGACGAUAAUGACGGUACCUGGAGAAUAAGCCCCGGCAAACUUCGUGCCAGCCGCCGCAGUAA
rnacentral:rRNA from 1 species